GGCGGCCGCCUCACAUUCCCCCCCUCUCCCCCCCCUCUCAUCCUCCUCCCUCAGCCCUGGGGCGGCGGGACCGGGACCUGGGAUCGGCGGGACUGGGCCUUGAGGAACCUCUGGAACCCAAACCUCAUCUUCUCCUGAGCCACAAACCACAAAACCACCAGCUUCCAGCCAUCAGCUAGCCCACAGAAAUCUUGAGUGAAAACGUGUCAAACUCUAGAUGUGAUAUACAAGGACAGCUCCACAGUUAUCAAGGAGAGAGUCCUCACAUACAUGAGAUGAGGAUGGAGGUGAAGUGUUGGUCACACGAAUUCCAGGAAGAAUCUCUUCUCUCUCCUCCUGGAUCCACAAAGCAAGAGUUAGGAAUCUGGUGGGGAAAAGCCCACCACCAGAACUCGUAUGAUUUUACAGUUAUACCCCUGCUCAGAAGUUGUCAUUCUUCUGCCAGAAGUUGUCAUUUUCCACUUCAGCUUAAGGCUGAAACUACCUGGUGAUCUUAUAAGUGCUGGUGUAGCUCAGUGAUUGCAGUUAUUUUAGAGUCAGUUACACCAUUGUGCUGCAGGAGAUCAGGAUGCAGCUCAAAACCUCUUCCUAGCAGUUCUGAAAAGUCAAAAUCAGACUUUGUCUGAUCUGUCAAGGGGAAGCUCAUUUUCUCUCCCAUUGGCCCUCACACAAUCAGGACUCAGAUGGCUACCAUGGUUUUCCUUUUCAGAGACUCCUGAACUGGCAGCACCAUCUGAUGUAGCAGAGUUCAAGAAGAGAGGCUCUUGAGAGGGUCAUGACAGUGCCAUGGCAGGGCAUGAUGACCUAGAAAGCUUUGAAGAUGUCUGCUACAGAGCUCUUGCUGCUGCCUUGUUUGGUGAGGCAGAGUUCGCUCUUUGUGCUCCCAUGCACCAUCCUGAAGAAUGAUCUCCCACCCUGCGUUAGCAUCCUGGAUACAUCCACCAAGCUGAGUAACCAGGGUACUGAGACUUCAUCUCUAGCUGGAUCAAAUAUUUGCAAGUUGUUGCUGAGGGUGAAGAGAUACAAUACCUUUAGUUUCCUUGGGUACAUUGCUUUCUUGCCUGUGGUGGCAGGGAUAUAUUUUAGGCUAAGAAUUACAACUCUAACCAGCUGCCUGUGGCCUCCAGAGGUCAGCAUAGCACUUGAGAAGGGCAAGAUCCCAGAGCUCUCAAGCUCUACUUUUCAAGCGUGAUCUCAUAAUUAAGUUUCCCAACUUCACUGGUAACAAAUGUAAAGCCCCUGACACUACUUGUGACAACAAAAGUGAGAGAAGAGAUCUCAGAAUAACCACUGUAAAAUGUAAUUGGCUGAUAGUGUAAGUUGGAUGAGGGAACUCUGAGGUCACAAGUUCAUUGAUAAUAAAUAGAUGUCCAUCUGCUUAGUUUCUGUUCCUUUCCCAUUAGUACUGAUGGGGUGAAAGGAAAUGCCAGGUGUCUUCUGAGUAGUCACUCAGACUUGUUUCAGCUGUGGUAUAAGCUUCAUUUUUUUAAUGUGCUUGAAUACAAGGUGCAGUUCUAGCAGUUCUCAAAAAGAAUAAGGUAGAGCCAGAAAACAUACAGAAAUGAGAAACAGAGAGCAUCAUGGGUGUGAAACAGCUUUCAUAAAAGAAGGAUCUUAAGAAUAUUCAUCUCAGAAAAAAGAAGCUUGUUGGACCUUCCUGCAGGCUGAAAAGGUUUCAUGUGGAGGUUGCUCCCUGCUUGCCUAAACACUCAGUACUUGUCUCUGUGGGAGUAAGAUAUCAAAUGUCCACUUUUGCCUGACUUUUCAAGUACUUCUCAAGCUCUUUGCAUUACUGCAGUGCUAAGAAAUGUCCUUUUGCCUAAGAAGCAAAUGACAGUCAUUGCAGAAAAGGCUCUGAGCUGAAUUCUUUCUAAAUACUAUCAAGUGUUAAUUUGGUCUAGUGAUAUUAUACUGGAUUCAAUAAUCCAGAGCAAAAUCAGGAUGAGCUCCUGUUGUAGGAGACCCUAAUCUUACAUGAUCUCUGAGACCAGAUGGGCUCUGUCUUUGUGGUGAAGUAACUCCCAUAUGUGUUUCUCUGCAGGCCACCAGCCUCAAAACAUCCUCAGGAACACCAAAGAGCUUCAGUGUCACACAACACUAUCUAAUUAUUUCUCCUACAACACUAUCUCAUUUCUCCUUAGCAUAAGGAACUCUACAAGGCUUGUUGAGACCUCUGGUUCUCACAUUACUGCUUUGAAACACAACCUUAAGUGAAUCCAGCAGGCACCAGCUGUAGACAAAGUGUAAAAGCCCUGCUACAAAAAAAGCAACAACAAAAAACCAAACAAACAAUCCAGCCCA